rnacentral:rRNA from 1 species
UACGGGGGGGGCAAGCGUUGUUCGGAAUUACUGGGCGUAAAGGGCUCGUAGGCGGCCAACUAAGUCAGACGUGAAAUCCCUCGGCUUAACCGGGGAACUGCAUCUGAUACUGGAUGACUUGAGAUUGGGAGAGGGAUGCGGAAUUCCAGGUGUAGCGGUGAAAUGCGUAGAUAUCUGGAGGAACACCGGUGGCGAAGGCGGCAUCCUGGACCAACACUGACGCUGAGGAGCGAAAGCCUGGGGAGCAAACGGG